UCCUACGGGGGGCAGCAGUGAGGAAUAUUGGUCAAUGGGCUUACGCCUGAACCAGCCAAGUCGCGUGAGGGAAGACUGCCCUAUGGGUUGUAAACCUCUUUUGUCAGGGAGCAACGCCGGCUACGUGUAGCCGGACUGAGAGUACCUGAAGAAAAAGCAUCGGCUAACUCCGUGCCAGCAGCCGCGGUAAUACGGAGGAUGCGAGCGUUAUCCGGAUUUAUUGGGUUUAAAGGGUGCGUAGGCGGAAUGCCAAGUCAGCGGUAAAAUCGCGGGGCUCAACCUCGCCCCGCCGUUGAAACUGGCGU
rnacentral:rRNA from 1 species